rnacentral:tmRNA from 1 species
GGGGACGCAACUGGAGUUGACUGCUCUGAAACCAACAAACGGACAGUUGCAGGACUGGAGUUCAAUUCUCCACGUCUCCACCA